rnacentral:lncRNA from 1 species
CGACCUAGGCGGCGGUCGCCGGUCAGGUCGCCGGAAAUCCUUCUUCGGGCGGUGGUCAACGGUGUUUGACCGCCGAGUUCUGACUGCUGCGCGUGAUGUUUUUGUUUCGGCCAUAACUUUCUUGUCCGAACUCGGAUUUGCUAUCCGUUUGUGCUCACGAACUCCUAUCGAGACUAUCUACAACUUGUAUUUCAGUACAGUUUUCCAAAUUCAAACUCAAUAAACCUGAAAUGUCCUUCAAAGUUCGAGUAAGAAUCGUGUUUCACAAGAUAAAGCAAAUUAAGCACAAAACAACCACCCAACACUCAAUUUCCUAUAAAAAUGACAUCAUAUGAACACUAAAACCAUGGAAACAUGAGUGUUAUCA